UACGUAGGGGGCAAGCGUUGUCCGGAUUCAUUGGGCGUAAAGAGCGUGUAGGCGGCCAGGUAGGUCGGUUGUGAAAACUGGAGGCUCAACCUUCAGAGGUCGACCGAAACCAUCUGGCUAGAGUCCGGGAGAGGAGAGUGGAAUUCAUGGUGUAGCAGUGAAAUGCGUAGAGAUCAUGAGGAAGACCAGUGGCGAAGGCGGGUCUCUGGACAGUUCCUGACACUGAGGCACGAAGGCCAGGGGAGCAAACGGG
rnacentral:rRNA from 1 species